UCCGAAUUGGUGUAGUGGCUAACAUUUGACGCUCUCACUGUUGUGUUUCUCUAGAGAGAACAACGUGUGCCGUCAAGCCCGGGGUUCGAUUCCCCGAUUCGGAG